ACAAAUUAACGAUUCAUAUUUGGGCAGAUUCCUGGGGUCGGGGUCGGGGAGGUGCGGUUUUGUGGCCGUCCGAUCCGAUGGAAUAAAGGAGCGGCCCCCCCUAUAAAGUUGGAGUGCAUGCCGGUAAGCAAAGAGGAAACAAGAAAGAAUGGAAAUCCAAGCAACGGUGAACUUUGGUUCGGGAGAUGAAGGAAGUGAUACGUUUCUACAGAAUGAUCAAAUGAAAAGAGAAUCCAAAGAAAAGUGGGAAAGUUAAAGAGAGACUUCAUUCCUCUCCAUCAAUAGAUUUUCAUUUUCUUUUGUUUAUACUAGAUCUGAAUUUUAUUUUCUUGUAUUAAGUAACAUACCUCUUUUGUAACCGUAAAGAAAAAACUUCCGACUUCCAAAACAUCACCAUUGCCCCAUGUUCCUUAUAUCAAAA